UACGGAGGGUGCAAGCAUUAAUCGGAUUUAUUGGGCGUAAAGGGCGCGUAGGCGGCUAGAAAAGUCAGAUGUGAAAUUCCGGGGCUCAACCCCGGAGCUGCAUUUGAAACCCUUUAGCUAGAGGGUAGAGAGGGUAAACGGAAUUCCACGUGUAGCGGUGAAAUGCGUAGAUAUGUGGAAGAACACCAGUGGUGAAGACGGUUUACUGAGCUACUACUGACGCUGAGGCGCGAAAGCAUGGGGAGCAAACAGG
rnacentral:rRNA from 1 species